rnacentral:rRNA from 1 species
AUUGAACGCUGGCGGCAGGCCUAACACAUGCAAGUCGAGCGGAUGAAGGGAGCUCGCUCCUGGAUUCAGCGGCGGACGGGCGAGUAAUUCCUAGGAAUCUGCCUGGUAGUGGGGCAUAACGCCCGGAAACGGGCCCUAAUCCCGCAUAGCUCCUAAAGGAGAAAGAGGGGGUUCUUGGGACCUAACGCUAUUAGAUGAACUUAGGUAGGAUUAGCUAGUUGGUGGGGUAAAGGCCUACCAAGGGGACGAUCCGGAACUGGUCUGAGAGGAUGAUCAGUCACACUGGAACUGGAACACGGUCCAGAUUCCUACGGGAGGCACCAGUGGGGAAUUUUGGACAAUGGGCGAAAGCCUGAUCCAGACAGGCGGGGUGUGGGAAGAAGUUCUUCGGAUUGUAAAGCACGUUAAGUUGGGAGGAAGGGCAGUAAGUUAAUACCUUGCUGUUUUGACGUUACCAACAGAAUAAGCACCGGCUAACUUCGUG